ACGGCUCAGUAACACGUGGAUAACCUGCCCUAAGGUGGAGGAUAACCCCGGGAAACUGGGGAUAAUACUCCAUAGGUUAAAGGUACUGGAAUGUUCUUUAACCGAAAGUUCCGGCGCCUUAGGAUGGAUCUGCGGCCGAUUAGGUUGUUGUUGGGGUAGUGGCCCAACAAGCCUGUAAUCGGUACGGGUUGUGGGAGCAAGAGCCCGGAGAUGGAAUCUGAGACACGAUUCCAGGCCCUACGGGGCGCAGCAGGCGCGAAAACUUUACAAUGCAGGAAACUGUGAUAAGGGAACCCCGAGUGCCCGUAUAUGCGGGCUGUCCGGAUGUUUAAAACGCAUCCGAAGAAAGGGCCGGGCAAGACCGGUGCCAGCCGCCGCGGUAAUACCGGCGGCUCGAGUGGUGGCCACUUUUAUUGGGCUUAAAGCGUUCGUAGCUCGAAUAAUAAGUCUCUUGGGAAAUCUGCAGGCUUAACCUGCAGGCGUUUAAGAGAAACUGUUGUUCUAGGAACCGGAAGAGGUGAGAGGUACUCCGGGGGUAGGAGUGAAAUCCCGUAAUCCCCGGGGGACCACCGAUGGCGAAGGCAUCUCACCAGGACGGCUUCGACAGUGAGGAACGAAAGCUGGGGGAGCGAACCGGAUUAGAUACCCGGGUAGUCCCAGCCGUAAACGAUGUGCGUUAGGUGUGCCGGUGACCACGAGUCACUGGGGUGCCGAAGGAAACCGUGAAACGUACCGCCUGGGAAGUACGGUCGCAAGGCUGAACUUAAAGAAUUGGCGGGGAGCAC
rnacentral:rRNA from 1 species